UACAGAGGCCCCGAGCGUUAAUCGGAAUUACUGGGCGUAAAGCGCGCGUAGGUGGUUCAGCAAGUUGAAGGUGAAAUCCCCGGGCUCAACCUGGGAACUGCCUCCAAAACUACUGAGCUAGAGUACGGUAGAGGGUAGUGGAAUUUCCUGUGUAGCGGUGAAAUGCGUAGAUAUAGGAAGGAACACCAGUGGCGAAGGCGACUACCUGGACUGAUACUGACACUGAGGUGCGAAAGCGUGGGGAGCAAACAGG
rnacentral:rRNA from 1 species